rnacentral:snRNA from 1 species
AUACUUACCUGCUCAGUGGCACACGGUGAUCCAAAAGGCCGUGGCCAUGUCUGGAACCGCCUCCCUUGCACUACGGUUGCGGUGAUAGGCAGGAACAACCCAAGCGGUUGUCUUCAUGGGAUAAUUUAUGGUAGGGUGAGGCUGCGUGCGCGCGGCUCUCG